rnacentral:rRNA from 1 species
CUCGUAGACUCCUACGGGAGCAGCAGUGGGGAAUAUUGCACAAUGGGCGCAAGCCUGUAUGCAGCCAUGCCGGCGUGUAUGAAGAAGGCCUUCGGGUUGUUAAAGUACUUUCAGCAGUGAGGAAGGUGGGUAUGUUAAUAGCAUAUUCAUUUGACGUUAGCUGCAGAAGAAGCACCGGCUAACUCCGUGCCAGCAGCCGCGGUAAUACGGAGGGUGCGAGCGUUAAUCGGAAUUACUGGGCGUAAAGCGCAUGGCAGGUGGUUUGUUAAGUCAGAUGUGAAAGCCCGGGGCUCAACCUCGGAAUUGCAUUUGGAAACUGGCAAACUAGAGUACUGUAGAGGGGGGUAGAAUUUCAGGUGUAGCGGUGAAAUGCGUAGAGAUCUGAAGGAAUACCGGUGGCGAAGGCGGCCCCCUGGACAGAUACUGACACUCAGAUGCGAAAGCGUGGGGAGCAAACAGGAUUAGAUACCCUGGUAG